rnacentral:piRNA from 1 species
UAAAGGUGUUUGGUUAGAGUAGCAAACUAG